ACUGGGAUUAGAUACCCCACUAUGCCUAGCCUUAAACUCUGACUACCUACGCCCACAAUCCGCCAGGGAACUACGAGCCCAAGCUUAAAACCCAAAGGACUUGGCGGUGCCCCAAACCCACCUAGAGGAGCCUGUUCUAUAAUCGAUAACCCCCGCUUCACCUCACCACUCCUAGCCUAUCAGCCUAUAUACCACCGUCGCCAGCCCACCCUGUGAAGGACCCCGAGUAGGCAUAGCAACCUAUCAUUAAAACGUCAGGUCAAGGUGUAGCUAACGGAGUGAGAAGAAAUGGGCUACAUUUUCUAAACAGAAUAAACGGAAGGCCACUAUGAAACCUGGCCAGAAGGAGGAUUUAGCAGUAAAGGGGGACAAGAGCGCCCCCUUAAAGCCGGCCCUGGGGCGCGCACACACCGCCCGU
rnacentral:rRNA from 1 species